GGCGNCAUNCUUUACACAUGCAAGUCGAACGGUAACAGGUCUUCGGAUGCUGACGAGUGGCGAACGGGUGAGUAAUACAUCGGAACGUGCCUGGUAGUGGGGGAUAACUACUCGAAAGAGUAGCUAAUACCGCAUGAGAUCUACGGAUGAAAGCAGGGGACCUUCGGGCCUUGUGCUACCAGAGCGGCUGAUGGCAGAUUAGGUAGUUGGUGGGGUAAAGGCUUACCAAGCCUGCGAUCUGUAGCUGGUCUGAGAGGACGACCAGCCACACUGGGACUGAGACACGGCCCAGACUCCUACGGGAGGCAGCAGUGGGGAAUUUUGGACAAUGGGCGAAAGCCUGAUCCAGCAAUGCCGCGUGCAGGAUGAAGGCCCUCGGGUUGUAAACUGCUUUUGUACGGAACGAAAAGCCUGGGGCUAAUAUCCCCGGGUCAUGACGGUACCGUAAGAAUAAGCACCGGCUAACUACGUGCCAG
rnacentral:rRNA from 1 species